UCCCCUAGUAAAGAAAGAAAAGAGUGAUCAACAAAUUAAGAUGAAGUGAGUAGGAGUAUUCUGCUGUAUAAUUUUUCUUCUGCUCUAAAAGUUGUAGCUACAUACCAGGUACAUAUAAGUUCAUGAAGUUUGUUCACCCGAACCUCUCAACAAUAAAUUAUACAAUGUAUUCCGGAAUCAAGUAUGAACUUUCGUCAAAGACUCGAAUAUGUGCUCUUCGGCCAAUUGCAAGAUGCGGUGCUUUUGGAAGGGUUUAUAUGGGGGAUGAAUGUUGAUUACAGAGAGUUACUCACUCGCAUAGUCGGAGGUUAUAAGAAUGUAUACCGUACAAUUAUUAUUAAGGACUAGAAUACUUGCACUGUUGCACAAGAAUGGAAUUAUGCACAGAGAUAUUAGGUAAUUCUUUCAUUCAGUAUUGUUAGUUAUUGGAUAUUAUAACUUGCUUUACUCCAUUCAGGAAUCUCCAUUGCAUACUGAAUCAAUGAGAUGUGUGUUUCAAUUCAUUUAGGGAGUACACUUACCAGUUUACAUUAAAGGCUGCCUUAAACUAUCUUUGAAUUUGGUAUAUGAAAGAAGGUUGUUGAAUUGGUACGGGCAUUUCUGGCUUCGCUGCCUUAUUCAUUUUGUUUUUGCUUCUUGAGAUAUUUAUUGAAAACUGAAUUGCCUAACUGUUUUAGGCUUGCUAUUUAUUAUGACCCUUACAAAGUCAAUGAGGGUACGCCAUAUUGGAUGGCUCCUGAAGUUAUUCUGCAGACUGUCCAUAGCUUGUCAAUUGAAGUACAAUUAUCAACUUAUUUUUUCUUAUCACCUAAAGCCAUGAAAAUUCAUAUAUAUUGACAGUCUAGUGUAAAUGCCCUUGCUAGUAGUGGUUUUUUGUUUGGGGGGUGGGGGAGUGGUUGUACAUCAUAUUACUAAUGGAGGCCUGCUUUUGUGAGUGAAACCCCUGACCCAUAUUUCACAAUUAGGUGGUCUACAUUUCUGUGCUAAUCUUCCACCCUCAUGUUUCAAUACCUGGGACACAUAUGUCACUGAGGUUUUAUGUAAAAUCUUGAACUCCAAAUAUGAUUCCCAUAGGCAUCACAGUUAAUAGUAGAAUUGCAUCAUAUUCAGAGGCAUUGCACUGCUAGUUAUCAACUUUUAGGUUCUAAACCAUCGUCAUAUAAAAGAAUGCAGGCAUAAAUAACUAGUUUAUCAACAAAACUUGUCUGGUCCAAACUCCAAAGUGUUUUGACUGACAAGAAAAUAGAAAGUACAACAUGUUUGAAGUUUCUUGUAUUUUUCUGAAGUUUGAUUAAACUAGGAAGUACUAGGGCAGUCGAGCGUAAGCCUACACUAUUAAACUUCAUUGAUAACCAUAUUUCAAAAGAAUUUUAGAACUUUGAAGGAAAAUUUUGACUAUUCACUUCUUAUUAUUGUUUUAGGUUUUCUUUUCCCAUUCAAAUGAAAAGGUGCAAGGCCAUUUUAUUAGUCUGAAUAAAUAUGAAUGAUUAAGAUUUAUGACAAAAUGAACUCAUAUGUUUUUACUAAGAUUAAUCUAAAUAUUAAUAUGUACAUUAGAAUAUAGAAGUAUAGUUCCUAAUACAUAUCUAAAUAUUUGUAAAUUAGGAUAUAGAAGUAUGAUUCCUAAUACAUAUCUAAAUGUUAAAAUAUGAAUAUUAAAUAAUUUAAAUUGUUUGUCUUCUCAACAUCUGAAUGUAUAGAAGUUGUCUUUUAUUUAAAAUUAUCCCCUCUGUCCCAAUGUGUGGGACACAGUUUGAACUUCGAGAGCCAAAUAUUAUAUGGUAAUGAUAGUAGAUGGUGAUGAUUAUAAAUGGUAGCUAGGGGUGAUGACAGUUGACUGUGGUACAUAUAGUAAAAAAGCUACCACAUCACUGGAAAAGUUGACUAAGGAAGCAAAUAACUCUGAGCAAACAACUAAGGUUCUUGAUUUUGUACCUCUGGAAAUCAUGGUGCCUUUAAGUAAUGAGCAAUUGGUUGGUGAAAAAGAAGCACAUGAGAAUAGCGGUGAAUAGUCAGGCAAAGAAGAAAAAAAUGGUGAGAGUGCAACUGAACAGUCGCAUGAAGAAGAAGAUAAACACAUAACUAUGAUUGAUGAUUUGAAGAAAAACUUGAUCAUAGUACAAGUGAGCAUUCAUCUAAAGGAGAAGAAGAAAGAAAUGACAGCACAUCAGCAAAAAAUAUGGUUGAGGAUUGAACGGCAGCUACAUUAGAAAGAACAGAAAAUAGAUAAAAACAACAUGAUUAAAAGGGAUGCCCGAUGAGCAGCUGUUGCUAGGUCAAAUAAUGAUUUUGGUGGCUAUGAUAAUUUAAAGGUACUGUAUCUCAAAUGAUGACUGUGAUCCUGAGGCUCUUUUGGUUCCAGUAAUGCAUCAAGACUAUUGACAUGAAAAGUAUGGAUUUUAAGACCCACUUGAACGUGUCUAUGCCUUACUAUUCAUGGGUCACUGUGUGUGAGUGUCAACUUUGGAACUCAACUUUUUGAGUUUAAAAAUGUUUUGAUCAGUUAGGGUAUUAAGAAGGAUAUUUAAAAAAACUUGUUUUGGUCUCUUUUUAGCCUUGAACAAAGAUAUGGAGCUACAACCCCCACAGAAGCUGAUGCGUAGCCUUCUUCUUCGCGGAGUCUUUUGUGAAAAGAAAUAGUAGAUUUGGUGUGGUUACAGUGACUUGUGUAUUUGGGAUCAAUAUAUUCAUGAUUGAACUCUUAUGUCAUUCUCUAACCCCUCCCUCCUUUGGUUAGCAAUUAACAAAGUUUGGAAAAAAAUAUAUGCAAAUUAGGUUGAUAUAGUGGAGAAGUCUAUUGAGCUCAUUUUGAAUGGAAAGGAUCCAACUGACAAAAAAGUAAACGAUGGUAGUGACUGGUUUGGUUCUUGCAUAAUAUAUUGUGUGCAAAAGAUACAAAAAAAAGAUAGACACCAACGUGUAAAAGAUGGCUUUGAAUAAAAGUAUAUUCAAUUCAAAUUCACGGGAAUCAAAUAAGUUUCAAUCUUACUAUUGAAUAUCUUUUAAAGAAUUGAAUCCAUCCAAGAUAUAAUAGAAAGGUGAUCUCCUUAUACUCUUGGAUGAAUUCAGUUCUUCUAAAUGAUAUGCAAUAGAAAGAUUGAAGCGCAUUUGACCCCAUGGAUAUGAAACAAAUACAUUUUUAUUCGACACCACUUUUAACCAGUUGAUGAUUAUCUUUUGCACUUAAUAUGCUAUGCAAGAACCAAACCACGCUCACCGUCACCUUUUGUUUUUUCAUCAUCCUUGGAUCCAUCAUCUUUUCAAUGAGUACAAUAGACUUCCCCACUUAUCAACCAAAUUUGCACCCUCUUUUUACAAAAUUUCUGCUAACUGUUGACUAAGGGGUGUAGGGAGGGGAGAGUGACAUUGGCGUCUAGUCAUGACAAUGAAUUCGUUAAUGCCAAAACAAAUAGGCAAACCGUUAUAAUCAUUCUAGAUUUUCUUUUUCUUUUCACAGAAGACUCAGCACAAAAAAAAUGCUAUGCAUCAACUUCAAUUGAAGGAGCUACAUCUUUUUUCAAGUUUAAAGUGACUAAAACAAGUUUUUCGAAAUUUCUUCUCAACAUCCUCACUGAUCAAAACCUCUUUAAACUCAACAAACUGAGUUCUAAGCAGACUCUCGCAGUUACCCUUGAAUCAUAAGGCCCAGGCAUUUUAAGUGGGGUCUUAAACCCAUACUUUUUUAUGUCAAUGUUCUUUACAUAUUACUGGAAGCAAAAGUGACUCGGGAUCACUAUUAUCUUUUGAUGAUAACCCUUAGAAUUCUUUUUGUUCUUCAGCUAUAUGACACAGGCCCAAGUUCUGAUCAUUCAACAAAAUAUGAUAAAAAUCAAAUAAUGCAAAAACCAGAUAUAGCAGCUAAGUACAGGCCAAAACUCAAUUAUAACAAAAAUCAAAUAAUGUGACCAACAAAAGUACGAAAGCAUGGAGCACAAAGGACAAUUUUCAGGACCUCGCAAGCAUUUACUUUUCCUUUUAGUUAAUCCUGACACGAGAACUGCCGAAGCUGGUUUGGAAGAUGUUUGCAAGUUUAGCAGUGAGAGGUUCUCUAGUGUGUAAUCGGAGAACUUUUUAAGAUGUGAUGAAUGUUUGAGUUGAGUCAGUUGACAAGAAGUUGAGCAAACAUUCUUUAUAGUCAAGCUAUCAAGAAGCCUGGUUGUAGCUCCACAUGUCAGACAAAAAGGAUAGAUGCAUUUACUGUUUCAUGUGACUUAUCAGCAGCUGAGGAUGAUGAUUUAACAGUCAUAAGUUAGAGCAUCCCUGGAUGUGAAAAGAUCUAUUGUUUCUCCUAUAAGGGGAAACACUGUUGCCUGUCUAGCGUUUCACAUUGCUGAAGUUCUCUAGGGGUAGACCUGAAGAAGUUACAAGCUGCAUUAUGUGGAGAACUCUACAUUUAUUGAAUGCCUCCACCAAAGCGACUUCCUUGAUGAGAACUGUUUGAUGGAGAAAGAAAUUCCCUUCUUUCAUCAACUGAACAGUAUUGACAAACAUUAUCCUCGUCUUAGCAAGUCCUUAUGAUGGUGACUCCUUUUUAAUCGAGAUAUUCCAUCUACUAAACAAUUUUGGCAGACUGCAUUUUGCUUUCUUGGAGUCACUCUAUUGUUCUCAUUUUCCUCUGAAACUUCUGCAACCAUAUGCUCCCGCACCCUUAUUGUGAAGGCUUACAAUUUUGACGUAUAAAGUUUCUAAGGUUCAAGGUUUCAUACUGCAGAGAUCAUGCGUCAGGCAGUGAGGAUCCAGUUCUAAAUUGAUGCAGAAAUAGAUUCAGGUUUGCAUCUCCGGGGAGAUAAAUGCAUGUUGUACGCACUUGUGUAUUAUUUUUAUUUAGUCUUAUAGAGUGAGUAUAAUGUUCUGAGGUUUCUCAUUUUUCGAUAUGAGAUUAGCCCAAAAUCAUGCAUAUUUGAAAGUUUACCACCCUAGAACCCUGCAAGUUCUUAUCCUUAACCAAGUCUUGUUACAUUGCAUAAACCCCGUUUAGGGACCAACCUCUUCAUUGAGGUUUGCCUCACUAUUACACUGUUGGAGUCCCUUUUUGAUAACAUAUUGUCACAUCCCAAGAAGAUAGUACAUAUUAUUUUCUUUGGCCCCUAUUUGUCUAUGCACUUUGUGUUUUAUAUAAUGUAUUUACUUUUCUCUGUUGAA